rnacentral:rRNA from 1 species
CACGAAGGGGGCUAGCGUUGUUCGGAAUCACUGGGCGGAAAGCGCACGUAAGCGGAUGUGUCAGUCAGGGGUGACAUCCCGGGGCUCAAACUCGGAACUGCCUCUGAUACAGCACGUCUUGAGUCCGGAAGAGGUGGGUGGAAUUCCUAGUGUAGAGGUGAAAUUCGUAGUUAUUAGGAAGAACACCGGUGGCGAAGGCGACCCACUUGUCCGGUACUGACCCUGAGGUGUGAAAGCGUCGGGAGCAAACAGG